UAGGGAAUCUUCGGCAAUGGACGAAAGUCUGACCGAGCAACGCCGCGUGGGUGAAGAAGGUUUUCGGCUCGUAAAACACUGUUGUAAGAGAAGAAUGACAUUGAGAGUAACUGUUCAAUGUGUGACGGUAUCUUACCAGAAAGGAACGGCUAAAUACGCGCCAG
rnacentral:rRNA from 1 species